UCCUAAAAAUUGCAUUGGUUUAUAGGAUACAUAUUAUUAAUUUAGGAAGGGUCUACAACAAUUUAGGAAAUUAAUAAUAAACAAUUAUUCUUCUAUAAUCUUAUAGUUCCCACUUGUUAGAGAUACAUGACUUUUCACUUCGAACAGUUGCGUCUUUCACCAUGUUUAUGAUAGUAUCAUCUUAAAAUAAAUACAUUUGAUUUGAGAAGUUUAGACUAUUCAUAUAAUUAUCAUUUUAGAAUAACUAAUUUUAAAUUGAAAAAAUGGAACUAUUUAAAUUGAAAAGUUGUGACUAUUCAUAUAAGUAUCAUUUCAAAAUAACUAAUUUUAAUUUGAAAAGAUGUAACUAUUUAAAUUGAAAUUUUAUGACUAUUCAUAUAGGUAUCAUUUCAAAUAACUAUUUUUAAAUUGAAAAGAUAUGACUAUUCAAAUAAAUC
rnacentral:lncRNA from 1 species